GUAAAUCUCCUUAAACUUACUUGACUUAAUUGAAUUGAAGCUAAAUUGAGGUUUGAGGAGUUUUUGAGGAGGUGAUAGAGGAAAUAGUAAUAAAAAAAUGAACACCAUGGUUAUUACUCCAUUUGCAUUGGUCUUUUUGUUUGGAUAGUUUUUGGAAUAUUCUCUUAUUAGUGGGGUGUGCUACUUUGGUAGUACUUAAUUGAUCAAAGAAAGCAAAAGAAUAGACAAUAGUACAUCAAAAUAAAUUUAUAAUACUAGGUAAAUUGAGAAAAAGAAAAGGGUUGAAAAUGACAGUAUAAAAUAACCCCAUCUCCUCCAUUCAAUGAUAGCAUGAUCUAUUCCCUUUCAUUUUCAAACUUAUUUAUCAAUGUUUGUGCACGAAUCUGUCAAAAUAUUUUUGCAAAGCUUGGAAUGUUGUCGGCAACUCCAUCAUGUCAAAACACAUAGUAACCGGUAAUAGUAAUAAGUCCAUUAGCUCAACUAAAAUCAAACAAUAUUUAAUUGUUCGAUUAAGAUUAGACAACUUAAAUAAUUUAAUUUUGACUGUAUUAGUGCGAGUUCAUAUAAACUACAUGGAAUCUGAAUUAUCUAUAAUAUGUAAGCAUAGU
rnacentral:lncRNA from 1 species